UCCGGUGGUAGUAGCGAGGGGGAAACACCCGUUCCCAUUCCGAACACGGAAGUUAAGCCCCUCAGCGCCGAUGGUACUGCACUGGAGACGGUGUGGGAGAGUGGGUCGCCGCCGGGA
rnacentral:rRNA from 1 species